rnacentral:rRNA from 1 species
GAGCGGGGCCUCAUUACCUAGCGGCAGACGGGUGAGUACACGUACUCAACCUUCCCGAUAGUGGGGGAUAACUAGCCGAAAGGUUAGCUAAUACCGCAUACGAUCUUCGACGCGGCAUCGCUUGAAUAUGAAAGGAGCAAUCCGCUUUCGGACGGGACUGCGUCCCAUUAGCUAGAUGGUGGGGUAAUGGCCUACCAUGGCGACGAUGGGUAGCUGGUUUGAUAGAGCGACCAGCCACUCUGGGACUGAUAAACGGCCCAGACUCCUACGGGAGGCAUCAGUGAGGAAUUUUCCGCAAUGGGCGAAAGCCUGACGGAGCGACUCCGCGUGUGGGAAGAAUGCCUUCGGGUCGUAAACCACUGUCGAAGGGGACGAUAAUGACGGUACCCUUGGAGGAAGCCCCGGCUAACUACGUGCCAGCAUCCGCGGUAAG